rnacentral:lncRNA from 8 species
AUGAAGUCACAACCUAAGACUGCUAUUGACCUCUCAUUUAUCCACCAGAGCGUGAAAUGGGAGGAUUCCCCGGAUGAUCAAAAUAAAGUUGUGGAGAAUAUGAAGGAUGAAACAGAGACACAUGAGACCAACAAGAACAGGACAGGAGGCAAGGCUAAACGUAAGUCCAGUGGCAGUGCCAAGAAGACUUCCGUGGAGGAGGACAGCAGCAUUGGUGCAGAGUCUUCUCAGACACCCGGGUGUGGUUUCCGGGAAAGGGGAUCUAUCAUUGAGCAGCUGGAGAAGGAGGCUCAGAGGACUCUAAUGCCUUCU